UACGUAGGGACCAAGCGUUGUUCGGAUUUACUGGGCGUAAAGGGCGCGUAGGCGGCAUGACAAGUCACUUGUGAAAUCUCUGGGCUUAACCCAGAACGGGCAAGUGAAACUGUUGUGCUAGAGUGCAGAAGGGGCAGUCGGAAUUCUCGGUGUAGCGGUGAAAUGCGUAGAUAUCGAGAGGAACACCAGAGGUGAAGGCGGGUUGCUGGGCUGACACUGACGCUGAGGCGCGAAAGCCAGGGGAGCAAACGGG
rnacentral:rRNA from 1 species